AAAAUAUCAAGGGCAAGAAAAUAAUAAAAUAUUAAAUUAAUUCUACAGAAGGGUGAUCCUUUACUCUUGUAGUUCCUAAUCCAUUCUUUUUCAGUAAAAGAAUGGGAUCUAAUUUAAGGAAGUAAUAUAGAGAAGGCACAGACAUAAACUGGAUGCUUGAAAACAUACAACUAAAUUGCAGCACUAUAAGUAAAUAAUAAAAGUAAUUCUGACCUACCAAAGAGGAAAUAAAAUAUAUUGCUUAGAUUAUUUGUUUUAAAAUAUUUAACCAAACACUUAUUGUAUACAGGACAAUUUUCUUGGCACUGUGAGUCCAAAGAGACUCCAUCUGGAAUUUGCUCUUAACUUAGAUUGUAGCAUAAGAAUUACAGUGCAAGGUAGAAAAGACUAUCUGUUCCAUGAGAGUUUCAUAUAAGGCAUAAUAAAUAAACAAGGUUCUUCAGAAACAAGAAGGCCACCCGUACAUAGCUUGGGAUGAAGAGGGUAUCAGGAGAGGCCUUUUACAAGAGGUGGCAGUUGAAGAAGGUGAGAUGUGUAUUAGUGUAUAAUGGUGAUGAUAACGAUUAUUCCUGUUCAGGAGAGUGUAUAAUAAAAAGCAUCAAAGACAGGGAAAAGCUGGAAGUGGACAGGAAAUUGAGUACAUUCUACAUACUAAGAAAAAGAAUUGUAUAUUGUAGAGAACUGUGGAUAUUUUGCUAUGUAUUCUUUCUCUGGAUCACUUAUGAAAACAUCAGUUAUUUUCCCACAGUAGGUACAUGGAGAAACCACUUAUUAUGUGAGUCUUGUCCAAGAAAAGUCUAUUUAUAUCUGUUCCCACCUCUAAGUCACUCUCAACUGACCCAAAACAAAACUUUCUCCCAAUUCCAAGAUGGCUCGUUUUUUAAAACGGCUAUUAUGCAACAACCUGUCAAUGGCUUCUUAAUUGUCUAAACAAAUUGCAAAAUACAGUAAUACAUCACUUAACAAAGGGGGUGUGUUCUGAGAAAUGUGUCAAUAGGUGAUUUUAUUGUUGUAUAAACACCAUCGAGUGAACUUACACAAACCUAGAUGGUAUAGCCUACUACACACCUAGGCUAUACGGUGUAGCCUGUUGUUUGUAGGCUACAAACCUGCACAGCGUGUUACUGUACUGAGUGCUAUAGGCAUGUUUAACACAGUGGCAAGUAUUUGUGUAACUGAACACUUCUAAACAGAAAAGGUACAGUGAAAAUACAGUAUUAUAAACUUGUGGGACCACUGUCAUAUACGUGGUCUGUCAUUGAAUUAAAUGUCCUUUGAGGAACAAGACUAUACUACUUUCAUGCUUACCCAUUAGCUUGUUUAGGGUUUCACAGAACUAGCUUAUAGAAAAUGAUAUUCAUAUGCAUAAACAUAUUUUGAUAUUUUUACAACGUGAUUUCAAAAUACCUGUGAUUUCUUUUGUUGACAAAGUCACAGUGUGAAUACCAUUGUGUUUUAUUGCCUACAGUCAUAAAAGAAAAAAGUUAAAUUUUAUUUAGAGAUAAGAGAAAAAAAAUUUUUGUGUAUAUAUAUUUUUCCCUUCCAAGUCACAGCACUGAUCUAGCUAUGGACUCCAACAGAAGUGUUCUUGAACUAGGUGCCACACUACUUAUUUCCACUUGUCUUAAAUAGUACAAUAAUAAUCAUAACUCACAGGUUUUCAUAUCCCUAACUUCACUGCUGACAAGGUAGGUUUAGUUUAUUCACCUUACAACACCUUGUCAUCUUGUGACUUUUAAAAUCUGUUUUAUUUACCAACUGGACUGUAAAUUUCCACAAGGUAAGUAUUUUACAUAUUUUAUUUCUUUGUGCUCAUCUAUGGAACCCAGCCUAGUGUUUUACACAAAGUUAACAUUAUAGAACUAGAUAAAGCAAGGCAAUGUCACAGAUAAUAUUAAUAUAAUGCAUUAAUGCAGCUCUGUGUGGAAUUCAUGCAUUAGCAACUCACUCAUGAAGCUAUUUACUGCCACAACUUAAAACUAAAACAAUACUGUGGACUUUUUGAUGUCAUGUCUCAUACAACAAGCAGUAUAUACAAUGAUAAUAUCUCAUGUUAGAGUUAAAGUGAAUAUAAGACAAUCAUUAUAUACCAGGUCAGUGUUUUCAAAGAAAGCUGACAGCUAAUCCCUAGAGAGAUAUGCCCCAGAAAACUCAUUGAAUGGACAAUAGAAACAAGAAAUAGUGUCAUAUAAUAUUAUUAUAAAGUCAGUCUAUUAUAAAAUUAUUUGAAAAUUUAUCAAAGAAAUGGCUUAGGAGUAAUCAUUAAUUAUCCCAAACUGAUAACUAAGUUAUAUGAAUAAAUGUCACAGAUUUGGAGUAAAUCCUUCUGCAAAUAAAUGUUCUAAUUGAAGAUAAAAUGAUACAAAAGGUUGCCCUAAAUUGGCAUUUAGCCAAAUAACAAAUCAAAAGGUUUUCUUUGUGCCAAUAAGAAGUCAGGAAAUACUUUAUUUUCAAAAGCUGAAAAGCAAUGAAAGAAAACAGACCCAACUGCAACAAGCCUGUGAAGUAUCUCGAAACAAGUGUCUUGGAGCUGGAUAAGACCUUGGCUAGUUUCAAGUUUACCCUUGUAGCAAGCAUUGUUGUGGUGGCUAAACCCCUCACAGAACCCUCCCACCCCCAUCCUGGGAUCACCCUUCAUGCAUGGUGAUGUCACCAGAAGCCACGCUUCUCUUCUGUCAGUUAACCAUUUUGAAGGCUUGUUUUAGAUUAUAAUUCCCUCAGUCAUUUCAUCAAAUCAGGCACUAUAAUACCUAAUACAUUUUUCUGAGUUCCUGUCCAACCAGACCACCAGAAGCAUUUACUUUCACCUUCAUGCUCAUCUUCCAGGAUCAUCUUACCUUUCUGGCUCUUGUAUUACAACCUAGUUCACAGGGGACUUUAACUGCCAACUGCCAAAUCAUAUCCUAACAGACAUCACCAUACUUCCACAUAAUGAUGAAACCAUGCUUGGGAAAGCACAAAUGGUUGAGUCUUGUCUAGCUUGAAAACUAUAGAACAAGGAAUGACAUUAUUCCUUGUAUGGAAGGAAGAUAGGGAAGAUGGUGGAAGAGUAAACCUUUGACCCUCCUCUCCCCGGUGGACACACUGACUCAACGCCAUGACACAGAACAAUUCCUUUAGUGAGAAAACCAGAAACUAACUGAGAGGUUCCUACAUUUCAGGCUUACCAUCUUGCUGGCCAUGAAGAGUCUGAGGACUUGGCAUUCUUUCCUCAAGAUUGGAGCUAAGAUCAGAGUUCACAGCUG